UACGUAGGGCGCAAGCGUUGUCCGGAAUUAUUGGGCGUAAAGAGCUCGUAGGCGGUUUGUCGCGUCUGCUGUGAAAACCCGAGGCUCAACCUCGGGCCUGCAGUGGGUACGGGCAGACUAGAGUGCGGUAGGGGAGACUGGAAUUCCUGGUGUAGCGGUGGAAUGCGCAGAUAUCAGGAGGAACACCGAUGGCGAAGGCAGGUCUCUGGGCCGCAACUGACGCUGGAGGAGCGAAAGCAUGGGGAGCGAACAGG
rnacentral:rRNA from 1 species